rnacentral:lncRNA from 1 species
GCCGAGCCGAGCUGAGCUGAGCUGAGCAUGCCAGAGCCGGCGCCGCUCGGAGGGGACAGGAAAGCAGUGGAGAGGAAGCGGGUGGAGAAGGUGGGAGCCAAGGCAGCACCUUCAGUGCCCAGGAGCCUCCCGGUGCAGAGCAAGGCAGAGCCCCCCAGCCUGGAGCCCUCGGAGGAGCCGCUGCUCUGGGAAGGGCUCACCCUCAACAAGUGCAUCCUGGUGGCCUCCGUGGUGGCCCUGCUCAGUGUCACCUUCCAGGUGCUCCAAGGUGAGCUGGGGCUGCAGGGAGGGGGACAGGGUGGCCACACCCUGCUGCCACCCCCUGCCUCUCUCCCCUCCUCUCUUCCAGCACCAUGUUCCAAGGAGGGGAUCACCCGAGGCCGGCAGGAGCCUCCACCACCACCUCCUCCCCUUCCCGGUGGGUUCAGAGCUCCGUGUUGUCCCAG